rnacentral:lncRNA from 1 species
CAUAUUGAUAAUUAUAUACUAUGGACGGUUAAAAUUGUAUGCUUAUGACCUGAUACUUUACAUGUAAUAUCGUUUGAUUAGAUCCAACAAUAAGAGAUGCAAUGGAGAUCAAAAUUGCAAAAUCCUCGGUUGGAAUGAGGGUCCAUAUGUUCCCCAUGUAUUUUUACAUGAUGUUCGAAAUUUGACAUUUUCUCGUAGGUCUUACGAGCGGUUGUAAAAU